ACAGCAGUAGCCGCGGUAAAACAGAGGGUGCAAGCGUUAAUCGGAAUUACUGGGCGUAAAGCGCGCGUAGGUGGUUCGCCAAGUUGGAUGUGAAAUCCCCGGGCUCAACCUGGGAACUGCAUCCAAAACUGGCGAGCUAGAGUAUGGUAGAGGGUGGUGGAAUUUCCUGUGUAGCGGUGAAAUGCGUAGAUAUAGGAAGGAACAUCAGUGGCGAAGGCGACCACCUGGACUGAUACUGACACUGAGGUGCGAAAGCGUGGGGAGCAAACAGGAUUAGAUACCCGGGUAGUCCCUGUCUCUUAUAC
rnacentral:rRNA from 1 species